AUCGAUGAAGAACGCAGCGAAAUGCGAUAAGUAAUGUGAAUUGCAGAAUUCAGUGAAUCAUCGAAUCUUUGAACGCACAUUGCGCUCCCUGGUAUUCCGGGGAGCAUGCCUGUUCGAGCGUCAUUACAACCCUCAAGCUCUGCUUGGUGUUGGGCCCCGCCGCCCCGGCGGGCCCUAAAGUCAGUGGCGGUGCCGUCCGGCUCCGAGCGUAGUAAUUUUUCUCGCUUUGGAGGCCCGGGCGCGUGCUCGCCAUCAACCCCCAAUUUUUUUCAGGUUGACCUCGGAUCAGGUAGGGAUACCCGCUGAACUUAAGCAUAUCAAUAAGCGGAGGAAAAGAAACCAACAGGGAUUACCUCAGUAACGGCGAGUGAAGCGGUAACAGCUCAAAUUUGAAAUCUGGCCUCACGGUCCGAGUUGUAAUUUGUAGAGGAUGCUUCGAGCAUGGUCUGGCCUAAGUUCCUUGGAACAGGACGUCAUAGAGGGUGAGAAUCCCGUAUGCGGUCAGGUGCCUACGCUCAUGUGAAGCUCCUUCGACGAGUCGAGUUGUUUGGGAAUGCAGCUCAAAAUGGGUGGUAAAUUUCAUCUAAAGCUAAAUAUUGGCCAGAGACCGAUAGCGCACAAGUAGAGUGAUCGAAAGAUGAAAAGCACUUUGGAAAGAGAGUUAAACAGUACGUGAAAUUGUUGAAAGGGAAGCGCUUGCAACCAGACUUGCGCGCGGCCGAUCAUCCGGUGUUCUCACCGGUGCACUCGGCCGUGCUCAGGCCAGCAUCGGUUUUGGCGGCUGGAUAAAGGCCCCAGGAAUGUGGCUCCUCUCGGGGAGUGUUAUAGCCUGGGGUGCAAUGCAGCCUGCUGGGACCGAGGACCGCGCUUCGGCUAGGAUGCUGGCGUAAUGGUUGUAAGCGGCCCGUCNNGAAACACG
rnacentral:rRNA from 1 species